GCUUGGUGGGCGGUCGCUGCAAGCCGGGCGUAGGCCGCAGAGGUCGCGAGUUCAGGCGUCCCGGCUCCCGUGUGACUGUCGUGAUGUUUUUCUCCCAGGCCGGGGCCCGGCCGCGGAUGUGGGAAGCCAGCCCGUCAGAACACAAGAAGUGGGUGGAAGUAUUUAAAGCAUGCGAUGAAGAAAACAAAGGCUGUCUAAGCAGAGAGAACUUUAAAGUUGCUGUUGUAAUGCUGUUUGGAUACAAGCCCUCCAAGAUAGAAGCUGAUGCUGUGAUGUCCUCAGUAGAUCCAAACACUUCCGGGAUAUUACUUAAGGAGUUUUUAGACAUUGUAAGGAAAAAGAAGGAAGCUCAACUAUAUUGGAAUGAAAUAAGACACAUCUUCACAGCUUUUGACAGGCACUAUCGUGGAUAUUUAACUCUGGAAGAUUUCAAAAAAGCAUUUAAGCAGGUGGCUCCCAAGUUAUCGGAAAGGAUUAUUCUCGAGGUAUUCAGCAGACUGAGAAUUUUCAGCAAGUGUUUACCCUGCCAUGUUGACUCAGAAGUCUAAUAAUCCCUACUCCAACCUCUUACUCAGCUGAAUCUCUCAUUCGGGCACACCCCUAACGUUUGCAGGGCCUGGGGCAAGGUACAAACAGAAGCCCGCAUGCUAUAUGUCUAGAGAUAUGAAAAUUAUAAAUCAAGAGUAUCCGGAAAGGGUCAUUGUGGUGCAUAGACCCAGAGUAUAGACAAAAUCUAAUUCAGGCUUUGUAAAAGACACCUUAUCACCCACACUCGAAUGUGUUCAAUACACUUCCCACCUCUCCUCAGGCAUAUCAAAGCACAUCAGGUCCACCCCUCUGGCCGGGCAGCACCUUCUUCAAGAGAAAUGGAGCCCUUCUACAAGGAUGCCCACUUAGUGGUUUGGCUGUCAUUUGAAAGAAGAUGAGCUUGGAGAGCUUUCCAGAGAUGACAGGUUCACUGUCAAGCGGGCACUUCGAGAGUCUGCUGGAAUUACCUCUCUGGCUCAUCCUGCUUCCCACCCUUGGGGCCCUUCACCAGAGCCAGAUUGGAAGCCUGGCGUUUCAUGCCCAUGUGAGCGUGCCAUCCGUGAGGAGAACCUGCCUAGUUAACUCAAGGCCCCACAAAGUGCCGCUGUGUUUGCUGAGUGCCCUGGGUGAGGCCCCAGGGAUGCUUCCCGGACUACCUGAGAGGUAGGUGUUUCCUAACUCAGCAGACUUUAGGGGAGGAGACAGGAACACAGGGAUCUGAAACCUUUAUAUGUGGCUACCUGUACAUCCUAGUUUCUGUAACAACAGAACCUCAGAUCAAAAGGAGAAAAAGACCAGCAAAAGCAAAUACACAAUGGGUGACUCAGGUUGAAAUUAGAACCUGUCAGUAGUCUAGAGGCCCUAAGACCUUAACAGUGGCCACUUGCUUCAAAGACCAGGCAUGUGCCCCUUAAAAAUGGACUGGACCUGGUAGACAGCUUUAAGAAAGCUGUCAAGUUACUGACUGUACCAUGUUGUUCUGGUAGUGAGCUUGUAAAAUGUUUGGCAAAAACCACCAGAAAAAUAAUUUCAAUUUAUCAAGCAGAAUAUUACAACAAUAACACAUCAAGACCUACCAAUUAAUGAGGGGAAAUACAAAUUGUUAUACUACAGCUAGAUAGAAAGAAGUCUGUAAUUUUAUGUCUAUUUCAGCUCUCUGCACAAGGUAACCUUUCUUAAAAUGUAACAUUUCUUAAAAAUGUAAACUUUAUGAGAGCAAAUGAGGUAUUGGAAAAUGGUUAGAAAGUUCACGGUAACCUUACAAACUCACAUGUCCUCAACUGUAACGUCCUCGAGGAUCUGGCAGUAGUCCACAUCCCAUACAGCCUGAUCGUCCCAAAGCUUGGAGGCAAGAAGAAUGGCUCCCAAAACAAUUCUUUUCCAGUUAGUGGGGCAAAUGUCGAUCUCAGCAUAAGUUAAAAGCCUUUCUAAGUAAACCUGCAAAAGUAGAGCACUGAUCUUUGAUUUUAGUUCAGUUUAAGUGCCGUGAUAAGAAUUGUUAGGAAUGACAGAUUUCAUCUCUUUUUGACACCCCUUUUAUUCCUAGGUUCUACAAAGACUUUGCUCAGCCAAGCCAAGGCCAGAGGCCAGGUCACAGUUGUGGGAAGACCUGCCUGUGUCUGUAUCCCUGGGGCUCCUCUAAACCUGCCGGUUUGUGAGAUGAUUUCAUGGUUUCUUUUACAUGUAUCAAAUGUCUACCCUACAAAGAACUGGAUGGAGUUAACAGCUGAGCAAAGAUUAGAGAGGAACCUACUUUCAUUUGGGAAAAACAGGACCAUACCAUGUGUACAAGACAGAAAUUUCUACAGAUGCUUUAUGAAAGAAAAAAUAUCUUACCAAAGUUACUACUGCACAUUCAGCAGUUAGCAGUGCGGCACUAAAAAGAGUACGAACAAAUCUGUAAAUGAAUUCGUGUUCAGGAUCAUG